GCGUCACACGGCUGGCUGGACACCAACCACCAGCGUGGCGCGCGGCAGCCUCGGAGUCGGCAACAGGGAAAUUCAAAAUGGAUCGUGGGACGCAGUUGACGGUGGUGAGUCCGGUGGCGUCGUGACAGUAAAAUAAAUGUGCAUAUCCUCCAUCCAUUACCGACCCGCCUGAUAGAAGAUUAAAUUAACCCGAGUGUUCCCGGUCUGAGUCAGCUUGGUGCAGCAUUACUGGGACGGCCACAGUUGCACACACAUACAUUGCUGACUUGUCUUCAUUUUGAAAACACUGAGAAACAACCCAAUAAGGUCACCUGACCAUAAAGCCACCAGACUCCUGGAAGCAGGCGUCAUUUGUCAAUGGGACCUGCCCCUAGAUGGACCUUCCUGAAGUGACUCACAAAGAGGUUUAAAACUUAAACUACCUUGGUUUUUGUGGCCUACGGAAAGACUGGUUUGUGGACCUAGACGACACGUUCCUUGGAGA